ACUCCUACGGGAGGCAACAGUGGGGAAUAUUGCACAAUGGGGGAAACCCUGAUGCAGCCAUGCCGCGUGUGUGAAGAAGGCCUUCGGGUUGUAAAGCACUUUCAGUAGGGAGGAAGGUAGUGUAGUUAACACCUGCAUUAUUUGACGUUACCUACAGAAGAAGCACCGGCUAACUCCGUGCCAGCAGCCGCGGUAAUACGGAGGGUGCGAGCGUUAAUCGGAAUUACUGGGCGUAAAGCGCAUGCAGGCGGCCUGUUAAGUCAGAUGUGAAAGCCCGGGGCUUAACCUCGGAAUUGCAUUUGAAACUGGCAGGCUAGAGUCUUGUAGAGGGGGGUAGAAUUUCAGGUGUAGCGGUGAAAUGCGUAGAGAUCUGAAGGAAUACCAGUGGCGAAGGCGGCCCCCUGGACAAAGACUGACGCUCAGAUGCGAAAGCGUGGGGAGCAAACAGGAUUAGAUACCCUGGUAGGAUAGCG
rnacentral:rRNA from 1 species